rfam:Danio rerio chromosome 22, GRCz11 reference primary assembly.
UGCCUCUUCAAUUGUAAGUCGCUUUGGACAAAAGCGUCUGCUAAAUGACUAAAU